AUGGCGACUUGCAUUCGUAAGGUGGCCUCGGAGGAGUUUGGAGUGUCCAGGGGAAGGAGAAGCGAAGAUAAGGAUACCUGGUGGUGGAAUGAUGAUGUCCAGAAGGCGCUUAAAGAGAAGAAAGAUUGCUUCAGACGCCUAUACCUGGAUAGGAGUGCAGACAACAUAGAGAAGUACAAGAUGGCGAAGAAGGCCGCAAAGCGAGCUGUUGGUGAAGCAAGGGGUCGGGCAUAUGAGGACCUCUACCAACGGUUAGGCACGAAGGAAGGUGAAAGGGACAUCUAUAAGAUGGCUAAGAUCCGGGAGAGGAAGACGAGGGAUAUUGGCCAAGACAAAUGCAUCAAGGACGGAGCAGGCCAACUCUUGGUGAAGGACGAAGAGAUUAAGCAUAGAUGGCGGGAGUACUUCGAGAAGCUGUUCAAUGGGGAGAAUGAGAGUUCUACCAUUGAACUGAAUGACUCCUUUGAUGAGACUAGCAUGCUUUUUGUGCGGCGCAUCCAGGAGUCUGAGGUGAAGGAGGCUUUAAAAAGGAUGAAAGGAGGCAAGGCGAUGGGCCCUGAUUGUAUCCCCAUUGAGGUGUGGAAAGGUCUCGGGGACAUAGCGAUAGUAUGGCUAACCAAGCUUUUCAACCUCAUUUUUCGGGCAAACAAGAUGCCAGAAGAAUGGAGACGGAGUAUAUUAGUACCAAUCUUCAAGAACAAGGGGGAUGUUCAGAGUUGUACUAAUUACCGUGGAAUUAAGCUGAUGAGCCAUACAAUGAAGCUAUGGGAGAGAGUCAUUGAGCACCGCUUAAGAAGAAUGACAAGCGUGACCAAAAAUUAG
rnacentral:rRNA from 1 species